rnacentral:rRNA from 1 species
AACGAACGCUGGCGGCGUGGAUAAGACAUGCAAGUCGAACGGGUUUUCAUUUGUAGCAAUACAGGUGGGAACCAGUGGCGCAAGGGUGCGUAACACGUGGGCAACCUGCCCUGGAGACUGGGAUAGCCCGCCGAAAGGCGGAUUAAUACCGGAUGCGGCUACCAAAGGACUCUUUGGGACGCUAAAGGUGGCGCAAGCUACCGCUCUUGGAUGGGCCCGCGGCCUAUCAGCUAGUGGUGAGGUUACGGCUCACCAAGGCGAUGACGGGUAGCUGGUCUGAGAGGACGACCAGUCACACUGGAACUGAGACACGGUCCAGACACCUACGGGUGGCAGCAGUCGAGAAUUUUUCUCAAUGGGGGAAACCCUGAAGGAGCGACGCCGCGUGGAGGAUGAAGGCUUCGGGUUGUAAACUCCUGUCAUUUGUAGAACAAGGUAGCAGCGAUUAACUGUCGCUGCAUU